GGCCACCUGAAGCUUCCUUCUUGAGGGGUUUGUCCCCAUCACGACAUGGGAAAUGGAACCAAACUGUUUUUAUAGCUGUGUUUGGAUGGAAAUGGUGAGUGUCCCAUUGCUCACGUUGGCUGGCACUGGAGCUGUGUGUGCUGUGUCAAGGAGCUCUGGUUCUUCCCUGGGCUCUGCAGGUGUUUUUUACAGCACGGUUGGACAGUGGAGGAUCCCCAAAAGACUAGCCUGGUUUGGGGGAGAUGCUGCUGGUUGUGGAAGGAGCAGAGUGAUUCUGGAAGCUGCUCAGACCUUAGCACAGGCUAAGGAGAAAGGGAGCUGAGGCUACUGAUGGAGAUCAGCUGGGCCCAUUACGUGCCAUCAGAAAAGGAUUGUGUACAUGCUGUAGAAGUGGUGCUGACUUCUUUUAUACCAUCUAUUCAUUGCUCAAAGGCACCUUUUUAAUUGGGGAACUCAUUAUUUAAAAUGGUGAAAGGGAGCCACGUGGUGGGACCUGGAGGGAGCUGCGUUCUGGCUGGCAGGGGCAGCAGAGCUGGUACUACCAUGACAUUUAUCACCUUUUUGUCAAGGCAUCCUAUUGCUAGCAUGUCAAACUGUUAAAGACUGAAAAAGACAGCACAUCUGAUAUUUCCAGAGGGCAUUCUGACUUGCUUAGUACAAAAUUCGGGACUAAAAAAAUUCCAGACGUUUUAAAAAUACAAUUGUUCAGAUCCUGUAGCAGCACUGUACAAGAACGUAAGAGGAGCGGGUGGUUUUCUACUGCAUCGGGACGAGUUUGGGUAAUGGAAGCUGGAGGAAGAAGUGGUGUGCUUUUAAUAUACGGCUCAGAUACUGCUGUCACACUUGGCAGCAGGAAAUUCCUGAGGAACAAAGUGAAUGGAAUCAAGAAAUGGUAAAUUGCACUAAUUUGAAAAUUGUACAGAUGACAUGUUAAUUUAGGAAGAUAGUCUGGAGGAACAUGACGGAGAAAAAUUACAGACUACUUGAGAAUUGGAGGAGAAUUGAGUCAGAAAAAACGAUGUUUGGGUUUAGAGGUAAAAUGUCACAACGAAAAUGUCAGGAGCUAGCGGGCAACCUUCCUAAAGCUCAGAUCUCUUCUGACCCGGGAGCUGUUUUCCCGGGACAGAGGGCGAGCCGGGGCAGUGCGUGCGGCUGGCAGACGCGAUGCUUGGUGCGCUGGAGGUGCUGCUGGAGGCCCUGGGGCUCCCGUCGGUCCACCUGCAUCGUGGGCACCU